ensembl:lncRNA
CACAACCUCGGGUGAAGGAGGUCGCAGGAGUUUCCCAGAGGAGAAGUGGAUACAUGUGACUUACAACUGUUCCUCGCAUCAAGUCAUCGUACAGUUUCAGUGGAUCAUCUGAAGCUCAACAGCUGCUGGUCACGUUCACUUUUAUUGCAUGGAAAACAGCAGCUCGAGGCAUUCUGCUGAACAUCUGCUUCAGUUUUCAACAGGAGAAAGUCAGUCAUACAGCUUUCAAGUGACAUGAUCUUCAUCCUGUGGAGAUUACUGGAUGUACCUUGCGUCGUGUCACCUUGUCCCAGCCUUGAACAUGUCCUGACAACCACGUCAUGAGCAAAGAUCCCAGCUCAUAAUGGGAAAACGUUCAGCUGUCACAGGCUCAUGGUCACUUUGAGCCGUAGGACACCCUCGCUGCCAUCAGGGUUAAUGUAUCCCAGAAGCCUUGGCUGCAUUUGCGU